UACGUAGGGGGCCAGCGUUGUUCGGAAUUACUGGGUGUAAAGGGUUCGUAGGCGGUGUGGCAAGUUGGGAGUGAAAUCUCUGGGCUCAACCCAGAGGCUGCUUCCAAAACUGCUGUGCUUGAGUGUGAGAGAGGCUCGUGGAAUUGCAGGUGUAGCGGUGAAAUGCGUAGAUAUCUGCAGGAACACCCGUGGCGAAAGCGGCGAGCUGGAUCACUACUGACGCUGAGGAGCGAAAGCUAGGGGAGCAAACAGG
rnacentral:rRNA from 1 species